rnacentral:rRNA from 1 species
AUGAAAAGGCCCAAGCUUGGGGAUGCUAUGUUUGAUGAGAAUGCCAUGUUUGAGAAUAUAUUUUCUGCAAUUAAUGUCUGUCCCAAGCUUGGGGAUGCUACGUUUAAUGAAGAUGAUAUUUUUAGCCUCCCAAGUUUCGAUGAGCAAAUUUAUUAUGAUGAUAGCAUGCCUCCUAUUUAUGAUGAUUAUUGUGAUGACACUUAUGCUAUAAAAAUUAGUGAUGAUUAUAUUUAUAAAACCUAUCAUGAUUAUGAUUACCCUUUUUCUGAACAUUACUCUUUUAAUGUGGAAACAAUUUAUAGUAUUCGAGUCUCUUAUGAUACUCCCACUAUCCCGAAUGAGAAUAAUUUUGCUUAUGUGGAGAGUAAUAAAAUUUCUAUGCUUGUAGAUCAUGAAAAGAAUGCUUUAUGUGCUGGUUACAUUGUUGAAUUCGUUCAUGAUGCUACUGAAAAUUAUUAUGAGGGAGGAUCAUAUGCUUGUAGGAAUUGCAAUAAUAUCAAGUUUCCUCUCUAUGUGCUUAAAGUUUUAAAGUUAAGCUUGUUUUGCCUUCUUAUGCUAGUUGAUUAUUGUUCCCAUAAGUUGUUUGCUCACAAAAUCCCUAUGCAUAGGAAGUAG